CCAUAAGUAAACUUUUUUUGCUUAUUGAUAAUGUUUCUAAUAACUUUUAGCUGACGCAUUAGUUAAUUUAUUAACAUAAUUUAGGUUCAUUUGAUUAUUUAUCAUGUUUUGGUAACUUAUGGCUAACAUAUCUACAAUUCUUGCUGAUCUCUAAUCUGGACGUUGCUCAUCCAUGGUGGAGCUGCGGCUCCUCCGUUUUUGGAAAGCUAGAAAAAUUAAACGUGGUGGUCACCUCAUGGUAGUAGGCACGCUCAUGCCCCCAGCAUCGAUGUGAACCAUCUUCCCACCUACCGGUGACACUUGAAGGCGCAGGUUCCAAGUUCUCUAUGAGCGGCUUUGAUAUCACUAGGUGUAUCAGAAUUUUAGGCUGUCAGACUUUAGUCUAAUGAUACAGUUAAGUAAUUCAAUCGGUUUGAUGAGAUAACCGAACCGUCUCUCCAAUCCCUGAAGAGCACUUCCAGUUCCGUUACCGCAGUGAACUUUUUGGCCUAGCCGACACAAAUACCCAGCUUCUAGAGAAUUUAUUGGCUGCAUAGGGAGAGAAUCCAUAGAACAUUCAGUUAACCCUUUUUAUUGCAGACAUGGUUGGGAAGACUUACACCCUCCAGGUCAGGAUUAGUAGCUACAACUUCACAGCCAAUCACCAAACCUUCACUAUAUCUCGCAUAUUGAACGAGCCUGAUCGUCUGCCACUGCAUGACUUUGUAACUCAAGAUGGCUUUGAUGAUAAUGACGCUGAUAUGCCUGGGAGUGUAUCGGUGCCUACUAAGGUGGACAUUAAUGAUGCUGAUUAUGAGGAGGUACCAACUGCAGUAACUACUUCAACGGGUGUUAACAACAGUAAGUCUCUCACUGCAGGGACUUCCAAGGCUUCCAAGGACUGUGUCGCUUAAUGCUUAGGCAUCAAUGUUCUCUGUUUCAAUAAUGCUUAGGCAUCAAUAUUGUUUUUUUUAAGACGUGACAUCUGCUUCUGGUUUUUUAAUUUAUAAACAAUGUGUAUUUUCUGAAAUAUAUUUUAAAUUACGUUUGGCUUUAA